rnacentral:rRNA from 1 species
GACAGAGGGUGCAAACGUUGUUCGGAAUUACUGGGCGUAAAGCGUGUGUAGGCGGCUUUGCAAGUCGGAUGUGAAAGCCCGGGGCUCAACCCCGGAAGUGCACUCGAUACUGCAGAGCUAGAGUUUCGGAGAGGUUGGUGGAAUUCUCGGUGUAGAGGUGAAAUUCGUAGAUAUCGAGAGGAACACCGGUGGCGAAGGCGGCCAACUGGACGAAAACUGACGCUGAGACACGAAAGCGUGGGGAGCAAACAGG